AUUGAACGCUGGCGGCAGGCCUAACACAUGCAAGUCGAGUGAGCGGCGGACGGGUGAGUAAUGUAUGGGGACUGCCCGAUAGAGGGGGCUAACUACUGGAAACGGUAGCUAAUACCGCAUACUAUCUCAUAACCCAUAUGGGAUUAGCUAGUAGGUGAGGUAAUGGCUCACCUAGGCGACGAUCCCUAGCUGGUCUGAGAGGAUGAUCAGCCACACUGGGACUGAGACACGGCCCAGACUCCUACGGAGGCAGCAGUGGGGAAUAGUGCACAAUGGGCGCAAGCCUGAUGCAGCCAUGCCGCGUGUAUGAAGAAGGCCCUAGGGUUGUAAAGUACUUUCAGUCGGGAGGCGUUACCGACAGAAGAAGCAACGGCUAACUCCGUGCCAGCAGCCGCGGUAAUUC
rnacentral:rRNA from 1 species